AUACGGAGGGUGCAAGCGUUGUCCGGAUUUAUUGGGUUUAAAGGGUGUGUAGGCGGUGUAUUAAGUCAGUGGUGAAAGCCUGCGGCUCAACCGUAGAACUGCCAUUGAUACUGACACACUUGAGUAUGGACGAGGUAGGCGGAAUUUAUGGUGUAGCGGUGAAAUGCAUAGAUACCAUAAAGAACACCGAUAGCGAAGGCAGCUUACUAGGCCAUAACUGACGCUGAGGCACGAAAGCGUGGGGAGCGAACAGGAUUAGAAACCCGGGUAGUCC
rnacentral:rRNA from 1 species